AGUGAACGCUGGCGGCAGGCCUAACACAUGCAAGUCGAACGGCAGCACAGAGGAGCUUGCUCCUUGGGUGGCGAGUGGCGGACGGGUGAGGAAUACAUCGGAAUCUGCCUAUUUGUGGGGGAUAACGUAGGGAAACUUACGCUAAUACCGCAUACGACCUACGGGUGAAAGCGGAGGACCUUCGGGCUUCGCGCAGAUAGAUGAGCCGAUGUCGGAUUAGCUAGUUGGCGGGGUAAAGGCCCACCAAGGCGACGAUCCGUAGCUGGUCUGAGAGGAUGAUCAGCCACACUGGAACUGAGACACGGUCCAGACUCCUACGGGAGGCAGCAGUGGGGAAUAUUGGACAAUGGGCGCAAGCCUGAUCCAGCCAUGCCGCGUGGGUGAAGAAGGCCUUCGGGUUGUAAAGCCCUUUUGUUGGGAAAGAAAAGCAGCCGGUUAAUACCCGGUUGUUCUGACGGUACCCAAAGAAUAAGCACCGGCUAACUUCGUGCCAGCCGCCGCCGUAACAC
rnacentral:rRNA from 1 species